GAUGAACGCUGGCGGCGUGCCUAAUACAUGCAAGUCGAGCGAACGGACGAGAAGCUUGCUUCUCUGAUGUUAGCGGCGGACGUGUGAGUAACACGUGGAUAACCUACCUAUAAGACUGGGAUAACUUCGGGAAACCGGAUCUAAUCCCGUAUAAUAUUUUGAACCGCAUGGUUCAAAAUUGAAAGACGGUCUUGCUGUCACUUAUAGAUGUAUCCGCGCUGCAUUAGCUAGUUGGUAAGGUAACGGCUUACCAAGGCAACGAUGCAUAGCCGACCUGAGAGGGUGAUCGGUCACACUGGGACUAAGACACGGUCCAGACUCCUACGGGAGGCAGCAGUAGGGAAUCUUCCGCAAUGCGCGCAAGCCUGACGGAGCAACGCCGCGUGAGUGAUGAAGGUCUUCGGAUCGUAAAACUCUGUUAUUAGGGAAGAACAUAUGUGUAAGUAACUGUGCACAUCUUGACGGUACCUAAUCAGAAAGCCACGGCUAACUACGUG
rnacentral:rRNA from 1 species